GCCAGACUCCUACGGGAGGCAGCAGUGGGGAAUAUUGCACAAUGGGGGAAACCCUGAUGCAGCGACGCCGCGUGAGUGAAGAAGUAUUUCGGUAUGUAAAGCUCUAUCAGCAGGGAAGAAAAUGACGGUACCUGAUUAAGAAGCCCCGGCUAACUACGUGCCAGCAGCCGCGGUAAUACGUAGGGGGCAAGCGUUAUCCGGAUUUACUGGGUGUAAAGGGAGCGUAGACGGUGAUGCAAGUCAGAAGUGAAAGCCCGGGGCUCAACUCCGGGACUGCGUUUGAAACUGUGUGACUGGAGUGCAGGAGAGGUAAGCGGAAUUCCUGGUGUAGCGGUGAAAUGCGUAGAUAUCAGGAGGAACACCAGUGGCGAAGGCGGCUUACUGGACUGUAACUGACGUUGAGGCUCGAAAGCGUGGGGAGCAAACAGGAUUAGAUACCCGGGUACG
rnacentral:rRNA from 1 species